GGUUAUAAAUUUGGCUAAUUUGGCGAAUUGUUUUGAGCUAUAAUAAUAAUAUAUUAACGUUUUAAAGUUAAUAGAAAUUUUAUUAUAGAAAUGAAAUGCUAGUCGAAAAAUAGGAUAUCUGGUUACUUAAGAAUAUAAUUUAAUUAUGUGUGCUAUAAGAAUAAAAAAUUUUUAAGGGAUUAGAGUUAAAAAAUUUAAUAUUAUUUCAAUUUCUUAUUAAUUAAAUGCUUAUAAUCAGCAAUUGCUUUAGAGUUAGUUAUAUAACAUAAAAUUUAUAUUAGAAUUUUUUAUUAAUUUAUUUUAUAUUAAGUAAGGACUGUAAUUAUUAAGGUUAAAUAUAAUGUUAAAUAAGUAGAUCAGAAUUAAUUAUAGUGAGAAAAAUGAAAAUAAAAUUUAAGAAUUCGGCAAUAGGUUAUUCGCCUGUUUAUCAAAAACAUUGUUUUUUUGUAAGUGAUAAGAAAUCUGACUGCCCAAUGAGCAUUAAAUGACCGCGGUAUUUUGACCGUGCUAAGGUAGCAUAAUCAUUAGUCUUUUAAUUGUAGACUGGAAUGAAUAGUUGGACGUAAUUACAACUUUUUUAUUUUUAAAUAUCGAAUUUCACUUUUUGGUGAAGAGGCUAAAAUGUAACCAAAAGACAAGAAGACCCUAUCAAAUUUUAUUAUAAGUUAUUGUAGAUGAGAGGUAAAAAUAAAAUAGUUGUUAAUUUUGCUGGGGCGGUGAGUUAAAAACUAAUUAAGAUCCAAAAUUUUUGAUUAAUUGAUUAAAUUACUGUAGGGAUAACAGCGUAAUCUUAUUUAAGAGUUCAUAUCGACAAUAAGGGUUGCAACCUCGAUGUUGGAUUAGAAUACCUUCUUGGAGCAGAAUCUAAGAGUGGUGAUCUGUU
rnacentral:rRNA from 1 species